rnacentral:rRNA from 1 species
GCUAUACAUGACUCUGCGCAUAUCAAUAAGCGGAGGAAAAGAAACUAACAAGGAUUCCCCUAGUAACGGCGAGUGGAGCGGGAAGAGCUCAAAUUUGAAAUCUUAAAGGUUUUCCCUUGACGAAUUGUAGUUUAAAGAAGUGUUUUCUGUUGAAGUUUCGGUAAAAGUUCUUUGGAAUAGGACAUCAUAGAGGGUGAGAAUCCCGUAUUUGACCAUUACUUUCCAGCUGUGUGAUACACUUUCAAAGAGUCGGAUUGUUUGGGAAUGCAGUCCAAAAUGGGUGGUAAAUUUCAUCUAAAGCUAAAUAUUGGCGAGAGACCGAUAGCGAACAAGUACCGUGAGGGAAAGAUGAAAAGAACUUUGAAAAGAGAGUUAAACAGUACGUGAAAUUGUCAAAAGGGAAGCGUUUGACACCAGUGUUGUUUAGUUGAAAAUCAAUUCAAUAAUUUUUGAUUUUAACUAGUAUUGACUUCAUCAGCUUGCUGCUUUCUUUUCAGGAAUUAUUGAAUGCACUUUUCAGUUAACAAGUCAACAUCAAUUUCUUUUGUUGUAAAAGGGUAAGAGGAAGGUGGCUUACGCUUCGGCGUAAGUGUUUAUAGCCUUUUACCUCUGCAAUCGGAGAGAUUGAGGACAGCAGCGUAGACUCUUCGGGGUUAGAUACACUUGUGCUAAGCUAUAGCCUUGUAUAGACAACUUGUUGACUAUGCUCAGUCAUGUAGCUUACUCGCUUGUGCUAUUUUACCUACGCUUAGGAUGUUGACACACGCGCGUGCUCG